rnacentral:rRNA from 1 species
AGUGAACGCUGGCGGUAGGCCUAACACAUGCAAGUCGAACGGCAGCACAGUAAGAGCUUGCUCUUACGGGUGGCGAGUGGCGGACGGGUGAGGAAUACAUCGGAAUCUACUUUUUCGUGGGGGAUAACGUAGGGAAACUUACGCUAAUACCGCAUACGACCUACGGGUGAAAGCAGGGGAUCUUCGGACCUUGCGCGAUUGAAUGAGCCGAUGUCGGAUUAGCUAGUUGGCGGGGUAAAGGCCCACCAAGGCGACGAUCCGUAGCUGGUCUGAGAGGAUGAUCAGCCACACUGGAACUGAGACACGGUCCAGACUCCUACGGGAGGCAGCAGUGGGGAAUAUUGGACAAUGGGCGCAAGCCUGAUCCAGCCAUGCCGCGUGGGUGAAGAAGGCCUUCGGGUUGUAAAGCCCUUUUGUUGGGAAAGAAAAGCAGCAGGUUAAUACCCCGCUGUUUUGACGGUACCCAAAGAAUAAGCACCGGCUAACUUCGUG